CCCGGUCUCCGCACUCCUUCCCACAUGCCUUGCCCUGCGCCUCUCCUCCGCCUGGAAGUUCACCCGUGUCCUUCAUCGUAUCCUCUAACGCGCUGAUGAGAAAACAAGGCACGGGGACGUGUAGUCAGUUUUUGGAAAUUCAGCUCAGAAGAUUACAUAUCUCCGGGGAGCCCUACAAUUUGAAGUUUUCUGUGUGUCUGUGUACGCAUCGGGAGUUCCUCUGGAGUUUGCUUCAGACAGCUUUGAGUCUUUGAAAGAAUGUUGUUCUGGGGCAAUCCUGGUCUCAAACACAUACCCUUUGAGUUGUGUUUGUUUGUAUGUGUCACCAUUGUUGUCUUACCUAUUUGUAGUGGUUUGAAGAGUGUCACCCAAAAAUUCAUGUCAUGGAACCUCAGGAAAAGACCUUAUUUGGAAAUAGGGUCUUUGCAGCCGUGAUCGUAUAGUGGUUAGUACUCUGCGUUGUGGAAAUAGGGUCUUUGCAGAUGUUAUUACGAUAAGGCUUGAAAUGAGAUCACACUGGUUUAGGGCAAGCCCUCACCCCCGUCAGAAUGUCCUUAUAAGAGACAGAAAAAAAAAAAAAAAAAGAAAACUAAAGUGACACAGGAAAGAAGGUCGUGGGAAGACAGAGGCCGACACUGGAGCUGGUGGCGGCAAGCCAAGAAA